AAAAUAUCGUUUUAACUUUAGCUUUGGGCUAUAGCGAAAGAAGUUGAUGUAUGAAUGGUCAAAGAUUGAAGAAGCAGAAGGAAGGAGGUAAAUGACGCAAUGGAAGUUCAGAAGAUCGUAAAUACUGUGAAAGGAACAGCUCCCCUCUCCCAUUCCCCAAAGUGAAUAUCCAAGGAUAAGUUAAGCAAUCCUUAUCCGCAACCUCAGUCAAAAUUCAAGUCCUUAACGACCUCUUCCUUCCACCAAUAAUUCUGAUGAUGAUUACUAGACAAAACCCAUCAAUCUGAAAGAGAAAGCACUGCGAAAUACAUCCAUCUCUUGGCUUGUAUUUCCCUCAACAAAUCAAGAAAAGACAUAGGAAUAUUAUCCAAAAAUUUCAUGGUGGAAGGAAGAGAGAAGAAGAGAAACAGACAAGACAGAGAGACAGGUGUUCAAAACGACAAAAAUUGUUCAAACCAUGGCACGUGUCAUGAGGCCUACAGGUCAAUUCUUUAUAAAGCAACGAAUAGCUGCAGUGACCGUUUAUGCCUGCUUGCUUCUUUCAUAACCAAUCCUAACUGGAAGAAAUUCUUAUAUGACAGAUCUUUUCUACAAAGUAAUUUAAGUUGUAAACCCAAUCAAUACGAUGCAUUCUUAAAAUAUUAUCACAUCAAAGAAAAAAAUGUAAACCCGAAAUAUACUAACAUGAGAAUAUUUCCAAAAUAUUCUUUGGGAAGGCUCCAUGGAUUCAAAAGCAUUAAUAGAUUUUGUAUUUUUCUGUAA